rnacentral:rRNA from 1 species
GUUUAGCCAGACGCGCACUACGUGUAGGAUUCAUAUGGAUCAUAUGCGUCAGAUCAAUCUAUUUUUGGGCCCACACAUUGAUCUUCACCCGACCUUAUCUUCUCAGCAGAAUAUCCUCCUCCACUCGUUUUAUUUCCUCUCUCUCCUUCGUUCUCCUCCAAUUGAUCCCCUUUUUCUCACCCCUUGCCAUGAACGCCACACCGCCAUGGAUGCGGCCUUCAAGCUACCCAUGUCCAUCCCCUCUCUACCUCCCUGCUGACACGCGUCCUCACCACCGCCUCCCGCAAAGCCUGCAUUGAGGCGAUGACGAGCUGCUCUGUCCCUCCCUCCCCUGUGAGCUUGAGGCGAUGGCGCUCUCUCACCGUGCGGCUGUGACACUAUUUGUUUUGCAAGACACCGUGCUUCCUGUUAUGGCUUUGUUUUUUAUUUUUAGCCGGUUGCAGCUUUUUGAUUUGUCGAUUCCAGCUUUUUAUUUCGCUGGUUGUAGAAAUUUCAUUCACGAGCACCAAACUUUGAUUAGUUGGUUCCAACAUUUUUUCCAGCUGGUAGUAGCUUUUCACGUCGCUGGUUUCAAUUUUUGAUUUCGCCGGUCGCAACAUCCCCCUUUUUGUUAGUAGCAACUUUUUGAUUCACACGUUGUAGCAUUUUAUUUCGUCAGUAGUAGCUGUUUGCUGGAGGAAGGGGAUCGAUGAAGAUUUUUAUUUGCUACAACCUUGUACCACAGAAGCUUCAACCAUGUGUGCCAGAGCUGCAAGCCGUGUACAUCAGAGCUACAACCGGAGACGCCCGUCGCCAGCGAGGCUGCAACCGGCAUGGGCCAAGGUGCAAGCGACACAACGGCAAGCUCCAAACCUGGUGGAUCACCAUGCCGGCGAGGGGAGCUGCAUCCAUGGUGGCGAGUAGCUAGAACCGUCUUUUAUUUUUUCCUACGACCGACCAAAUGUUUUGCUACGCUCCAGCGACGAAGGUCCAUGGUUUUGCUGGAACCGGCAAAUUUUUUGCGUCAACUGACUUUUUUUUGUUUUCUUAGUUGCCCAGUUUUUUUUGCAGGAACAUAGUGCUGUAAAAUCGACGACGACGGUGAGCCGUAGGCGGCGACGCCGUGCUUCGAUGGGGCGCACAAGCUGCUGGAACCGGCUUUGGCCGCAAGCUCCAUUAGGCUUUCAGUGGAGCUGCACAUGACAGAUGGGUGUGUUGGGAAAUAAGCCGCGGCGGCGAGCCGGGCGCGACCGGUGCGUGUUAUGGGUGCGCAUCAGACGCGUCUUGCGCGUCGGGACCGCGGGCGUGUGUGCGUGCGUGUGGUGCACGGGGUGGCUGUGCAGGUUAGACACCGUGCGUGUGUGCGUGUAGACUAGGUCAGGACGUGAUCCGAGCGCAGCGGGAGCGCGUGAUCGUUGAGGGCUCGGCGCAAGGCGCGCACGCGGAGCGCAUCGCGGGGCGUGCAGAGCAGGCCGAUCGGAGCGCGUGAGUGGGCAGGAGCGAGUGGGUCGUUGCACAGCUUGGCCCGGGUAUAAAGCUCGCGGUGGCGAUCAUUGUAAUGGCGUGGUGUGGAUAUUGAGUUUGUGCUCAGGGAGGCGUACAUGCGCCAGCAAAAACACCACCGUGUCUUGGUUCUUCUUCCUCCUUCUUCCUCGUCUUCGUUGCUUCACGCCACGGCCAGAGAGAGAGAGAGAGGUCAGUGUGAGAGAGAGAGAGGUCAGUGAGAGUGAGAGGAGAGCUAGGGCUAGGGCUAGCGGUUCCAACAAUUGGCAUCAGAGCCACGUGAAGAUCAGGGCGCGCCGGCGAUGUCGAUCGUUCCGUACGCCGGUGGAGCGGGCGGCUCUGUGUCAAAUCCGGCGCUUGUGCUCAGGGGGAGAACUACACCACCUGGGCCAUCAAGGUGGAGGCUGACCUGGACGCCGCCGGGCUGUGGGAGGCGGUGGUGCCGCCGGAGGACGCGAUGUCGGCGGUGAUCACCAAGAAAGAUAAGCCGACGAGGGCUUAUCUGCUCCGGGCGCUCGCCGACGAUCUUCUGCUGCAGGUGGCUGCGAAGAAGACGGCGGCGGAGAUAUGGAGCAGCCUCAAGGCCCGUUUCGUCGGGCCCGAUCACGUCAGGGCGGCGCGGCUGGGUGAUGACCCACAAGUGUAGGGGAUCAAUCGUAGUCCUUUCGAUAAGUAAGAGUGUCGAACCCAACGAGGAGCAGAAGGAAUUGAUAAGCGG